rnacentral:rRNA from 1 species
AAUGGGGGCAACCCUGAUCCAGCCAUGCCGCGUGAAUGAAGAAGGCCUUAGGGUUGUAAAGUUCUUUCAGUUGCGAAGAUAAUGACGGUAACAACAGAAGAAGCUCCGGCUAAAUUCGUGCCAGCAGCCGCGGUAAUACGAAUGGAGCGAGCGUUGUUCGGAAUCACUGGGCGUAAAGCGUAUGUAGGCGGAGUGGAAAGUCAGGAGUGAAAUCCCAGGGCUCAACCCUGGAACUGCUUCUGAAACUUCCAUUCUAGAAUUCUGGAGAGGCAAGGGGAAUUCCGAGUGUAGAGGUGAAAUUCGCAGAUAUUCGGAGGAACACCAGUGGCGUAGGCGCCUUGCUGGACAGAUAUUGACGCUGAGAUACGAAAGCGUGGGGAGCAAACAGGAUU